GGUUCUAUAGUUUAGUUGGUUAAAGCAUCCGUUUCAUACGCGGAAGAUCGGAGGUUCGAGACCUCCUAGAGCCA